rnacentral:rRNA from 1 species
AACGAACGCUGGCGGCGUGCCUAACACAUGCAAGUCGCACGAGAAACACGUCCUUCGGGGCGUGGAGUAAAGUGGCGCACGGGUGAGUAACACGUGGGUAACCUGCCCUUGGGACUGGGAUAACUGGCCGAAAGGCCCGCUAAUACCGGAUAAGACCACACGAGCUUCGGCUCAAGGGGUCAAAGUCGGCCUCUCGAUGAAGCCGGCACCUGAGGAUGGGCCCGCGGACCAUUAGCUAGUUGGUGAGGUAACGGCUCACCAAGGCCGAGAUGGGUAGCUGGUCUGAGAGGAUGAUCAGCCACACUGGAACUGAGACACGGUCCAGACUCCUACGGGAGGCAGCAGUGAGGAAUAUUGCGCAAUGGAGGAAACUCUGACGCAGCAACGCCGCGUGGGUGAAGAAGGCUUUCGGAUUGUAAAGCCCUGUCAGGCGGGAAGAAACCUUUGCAGGUGAAUAGUCUGUGAAGCUGACGGUACCGCCAAAGGAAGCACCGGCUAACUCCGUGCCAGCCGCCGCGGUAA